UGAGCAAGGGAACAGCAAUUAGCGGAGAAGGGACUCUGGGGGGUGGUCGCCCACCCCCUUAGUCGGAUGGUUUUUUCCUCCCCUCGUGGCUGGGUCACGAGCUUUUUAUAGGCUUAGAAUAGGGGAGGGGCAGGUCAUAGGUAGUAUUGGAAAAGGCAACGCUUGAUCGGUUAAAACGCAUUAUUUAGAAAUAAUUAAUCAGGAAAGAGCGGGGGCAAAAAGGAACAGAAAUACUCAGCCUGUGUCGCGGGUUUCAUCUGGGACCAGCAGUUCAGUGUUUUUGGCUGGAAGGUGGGGUUUCACCCCAUCCUCCUGGGCAUUUAGCAGCCUCCAGCCGCUCUCACUUUCGUGUGCCAUGGACGAGAUGAUAAACUGAGAUUGUAGAGGAGUUGCAGUUCUUGGCAGUGACCAGGUCUAGAGAACGACCACUGAGGGGUUGCUUGCUCUGAUGGAAACGUUAUUCCUAGGCUUCAUUUCUGAAUAUGGAUGUCCCACUGCCAGCUUUGGGAAGCCUUCACCAUCUCUGCCUAUACAGAUGGACACACUCCCUGCCUGUGCUGCUGCUAGACUGUGCUUACACUUCCAUCACAGAAUUUAUUUGAUUGGGUUAUCAUGGCUUCUCUGCUGGAAUGGAAGCUACUUGGGAGCCUGGGGAAAUGCUUGGCUCAAAGCACUUCUGCACUUCUGAUGGUUGGAUGACUCCACUGAGACCCAAGACUUAAGACUCACCUGGUCCUAUAGCCCCCACCCAGAAGUGGACUCAGCACAUAAGAACCAUUUUCUACAUCUCUAUGAUUGCACCCCUGACCAAUCAGCAGCACCCAUUCCCUAGCCCCCAGCCCACCUAACUAUCUUGAAAAAACUCUAGCCUCCAAAUUUUCAGGGAAUCUGAUUUGAGUAAUAAAAUCAACCCAUCUGUUAUUAUUAGUCUGGCCAUUUAGCUGGUUCUAUGUAUAUUAAACUGUUUCUCUA
rnacentral:lncRNA from 1 species